rnacentral:sRNA from 12 species
CCUGUGGAGUGUUACACCAAACGCAAGUAGCUCGGCAAAAGCGGACACGUUGAAGCAGGAA